AUUGAACGCUGGCGGCAGGCUUAACACAUGCAAGUCGAGCGAGCGGCGGACGGGUGAGUAAUGUCUGGGAAACUGCCUGAUGGAGGGGGAUAACUACUGGAAACGGUAGCUAAUACCGCAUACCAUCAGAUGUGCCCAGAUGGGAUUAGCUAGUAGGUGGGGUGAUGGUUCACCUGGGCGACGAUCCCUAGCUGGUCUGAGAGGAUGACCAGCCACACUGGAACUGUGACACGGGCCAGACUCCUACGGGAGGCAGCGGUGGGGAAUAUUGCACAAUGGGCGCAAGCCGAGUGCAGCCAUGCCGCGUGUGUGAAGAAGGCCUUCAGGUUGUAAAGCACUUUCAGCGAGGAGGCGUUACUCGCAGAAGAAGCACCGGCUAACUCCGUGCCAGCAGCCGCGGUAAUUC
rnacentral:rRNA from 1 species